rnacentral:rRNA from 1 species
AGCGAACGCUGGCGGCAGGCCUAACACAUGCAAGUCGGACGAAGUCUUCGGACUUAGUGGCAGACGGGUGAGUAACACGUGGGAACGUGCCUUUAGGUUCGGAAUAACUCAGGGAAACUUGUGCUAAUACCGAAUGUGCCCUUCGGGGGAAAGAUUUAUCGCCUUUAGAGCGGCCCGCGUCUGAUUAGCUAGUUGGUGAGGUAAAGGCUCACCAAGGCGACGAUCAGUAGCUGGUCUGAGAGGAUGAUCAGCCACAUUGGGACUGAGACACGGCCCAAACUCCUACGGGAGGCAGCAGUGGGGAAUCUUGCGCAAUGGGCGAAGGCCUGACGCAGCCAUGCCGCGUGAAUGAUGAAGGUCUUAGGAUUGUAAAAUUCUUUCACCGGGGACGAUAAUGACGGUACCCGGAGAAGAAGCCCCGGCUAACUUCGUGCCAGCCGCCGCCGUAAAAC